CCUACGGGCGGCAGCAGUGAGGAAUAUUGGUCAAUGGGCGCGAGCCUGAACCAGCCAAGUAGCGUGAAUGAUGACUGCCCUACGGGUUGUAAACUUCUUUUAUAAAGGAAUAAAGUGAGGCACGUGUGCCUUUUUGUAUGUACUUUAUGAAUAAGGAACGGCUAACUCUGUGCCAGCAGCCGCGGUAAUACGGAGGAUCCGAGCGUUAUCCGGAUUUACUGGGUUUAAAGAGAGCGUAGAUGGGUUGUUAAGUCAGGUGUGAAAGUUUGAGGCUCAACCGUAAAAGUGCAAGUGAUACUGGCAGUCUUGAGUACAGUUGAGGUAGGCGGAAUUCGUGGUGUAGCAGUGAAAUGCUUAGAUAUCACGAAGAACUCCGAUUGCGAAGGCAGCUUACUAAACUGCCACUGACAUUGAUGCUCGAAAGUGUGGGUAUCAAACAGGAUUAGAUACCCCUGUAGUC
rnacentral:rRNA from 1 species